GUCAACACUUUUUCAAAAAAUAUUUUUUUUUGGUUAUAGGUGGACACAAUACUUUUAUUGUAUUUAUUUAUUUUUAUGUGGUGCUGAGGAUCAAACCCAGUGCCUCACACGUGCCAGAUGAGUAUUCUACCACUGAGACACAACCCCAGCCCAUGAGUUAACACUUUGCAAAAUUCUUUUAGUUUAAUCUACACAGACCUUUGUGCCUAGCAACUUGAAAGCAAGGUUUCUGACAGUCAUUUGUGAUGUCUUUUAUUUAUAAUCAGUGUCAAAGCCCAGAAAAAUGACAUAAAAUUUCAGAUUUUCACUCAGUGAAUUGUAUUUUCUUAGCUUUAGGAGGAUGUUAAAUCAGCUCUUGGAAUCGUGCCUUACUGGGCUUUGGUUUGCAGUGGUCCUCAGGUGUCAUUUGAAAUCAAUCCAUCAGCAGCAAAGUGAUUGCCAGAUGCUGAGCGUUCACCCACAGAAAGGGACAUGUUAGCUGAAAUAUGCAGUGGAAUGGACAGUAAGGAGCAUGGGGCAUAGUCCCAGACAGCUAGUUCAGUUUUUAUCCUUGCUACUCAGCAACAGUGUGACUUUGAUCAAGUUUAUUAGCUUCUGAGUCUGUUUUCUCAUCUCUGGAGCAGUGAAGUGCCUUUUUCGUUGGAUUCAAUGUUAAAGGAGAUGCUGAUUUAAACUGCUGACCAUGCUGCCUGACAUGUAAUGAUGCUCAGUAAUGUUUUGUCAUUAUGAGGAUCCAGGGUGGUGAGGUAGGGGAAAUUAUAGAGCAGGGAGGGUUGGGUGAGUAUGGUGUCCCUUGGAGUGGAGAUGGCUUAUCAGGGAGACACAUGCAGACCAAGCCACUGCCAUCCCAUCCUCAGAGUCAACUAAGCUUUAGCUUGAGUUCCUGGGCCACAUUUGGUAGACUUCUUUGUGGCCCUGUCAUCUGUGGGGGUUCACAGAAGACUCAACAUUUCUCUCAGCUACAGCCAAUUAUAAACUUCUAAUUUUGCUGAGGUCUUGAUCUUAUUAUAGUUUGUACUUUGACCUUGUUGUCUCUUCUGUUCCUGGGAUUCUUGCUCUACUGAAAUAACCUCUUUACUACUAAGAGUCCUGUUGAUGUUAGUUCCAUGUACCAGAAAUGCAGGCUUGAUGUUAGUGAGGGGUUUGCAGUGCAACAGACGGCAACUGAGAACCGACCUUUGCAAGUCCCAGCCUUUUGAAACCCUCAGCUCUGGGAAAUGUCCAUUGAUUUUUUUGUACUCUCCACUCAGGCACCAGCCUUCUACCACAUUGCUGAGCCUUGUCUCUUUCCUGCUUGACUCACUCAUUCCCAUGCCCCUAAGUACCUG
rnacentral:lncRNA from 1 species